rnacentral:rRNA from 1 species
CCUACGGGAGGCAGCAGUGGGGAAUAUUUGGCAAUGGGCGCAAGCCUGACCCAGCAACGCCGCGUGAAGGAAGAAGGCUUUCCGGUUGUAAACUUCUUUUGUCAGGGACGAAGCAAGUGACGGUACCUGACGAAUAAGCCACGGCUAACUACGUGCCAGCAGCCGCGGUAAUACGAAGGAGGUAAGCGUUAUCCGGAUUUACUGGUUGUAAAGGGCGUGUAGGCGGGACUGCAAGUCAGCUGUGAAAACCACGGGCUCAACCUGUGGCCUGCAUUUGAAACUGUAGUUCUAGAGUACUGGAGAGGCAGACGGAAUUCCUAGUGUAGCGGUGAAAUGCGUAGAUAUUAGGAGGAACACCAGUGGCGAAGGCGGUCUGCUGGACAGCAACUGACGCUGAGGCGCGAAAGCGUGGGGAGCAAACAGGAUUAGAUACCCUGGUAGUC